GAGGGUAUAGCUCAGUGGUAGAGUGCUUAGCAUGUAAGAGGUCCUGGAUUCAAUUCCCAGUACCUCCA
rnacentral:tRNA from 1 species